CGUGAGGCCAUCGGCCAAUCCUGUCUCCUGGCAGCUUCCCGUCCUAGCUAACGGAAGCGGCUCCCGACGCGGGCGGAGGGGCCUCUAGGUGCUGUCCAGGCCUCGGGAACUACCUCCUCAGACCUCCGAGAAAGCCUUAGGUGUGGCUGAGUUAUAGAGGAAGACAAUGUGAAGUAAGGUAGCUCUUCCUCCUUUUGCUUAGGCUGCCUCAAAAGACUCAAGGCAUGCCCCAGAAAUGGGUUUCGAAUCGCCUGCUUUACAGCCACACCCAGACAUCCUGCGGCAGCUCAGCUCAGCACAUUCAGAACCAGAUUUGUGAUUGUCUCCCUCCAGCCUGCUCCCGUUUCUGUUACGGUUAUCAUGAUCUGUCUCUGUGAACCUUCAAGUGUAAGUCUUCUCUCCUCUGAUCCGUUGUUGAGCCCCACGACUUCUUUGCAGCGACCUUUCUCUCCUCUACUUCCACUAGCUAUACUGUUGACCCCAUUCUAGUGCUUGAACAGUUUCUUCCUGUGUG
ensembl:lncRNA